GGGAAGGAGUAAGAAAUCGAAUAACGCAGGCAAAUGGGCUACUUCAGUGGGCGUCCUAUCCAGAAGACUCAGGACAAUUGGGUCCUUCUGCGCCUGCCUCCCCCCACCAGCGUUCCCAGAAUGAGGAGGGCAGGGCAGGAAAGUGCCAGUCUUUCCACCCUGAAGGUCUGUAUUUACGAUGCCCACGUGCCUCACCCCAAACACAGAAGCCCCGCCUGGGGAAACUCAAAUAGCUGCUCCAGCCUAAGGAUGACAGGCUGAACUCCAGCCGGCAUUCGUCGACUAUAAACAGGACCACUUUGCUGAGUUCUGCAGAGAAAGGAAAAAGGUAACAGGCAGAGAAAGGAAACUAAAAGAAAAAGAGGAAAUGAAUCACUUUCUGAGCCUUAGACCUCAACAAACACAGAGCAGGCUGAGGAGUGACGGCGAGGGGAGUCGUCGGUUCAUCGUCAGGAGGAUGAUUGGAAAUUUUCAGCCUGGCAGUCAAAGUGUGUUCAUUCACCUUCAAGGUUGCUGCGUUUCAGCCCAUCUCUGCUUUCAAACAAAGACAAACACCUCUACAACCAGUAUCAGCAAAUGAACUGGAGUGCAAUGGUCAUAGGUGAGGACUUUUUCCUCAUUCCUGAACCUGGGACUAAUCGUCUACAUAAUAUACACUGAACGGAAUGAGGUAACCACAGCGCUCUGCUGCCUGCCACCGUCCUGAGAAAUCUCGCGAUCACUGCCUCGCAAGGGAAGCAUGACCUCAUCCAAAUCAUGUAUCAUUAGAAAAUGCGGUCAAAACUGUCUGCCCUUAUAAGGGGAGCACAUACACAUCUCCCCUUUGUUGUUGCUAUUUCACCUACCAUUUUUUUUCUUUGGCACUGAACUCUGAUCCGUCUUAUCUGAAGAUGAGGUUAAGUCAAGGGGAAGAAAGAUAAGCACGGAGGAGUGGGAGGAAAAACAGGCAGAGGUGGUCUGGCAGGGAAGCACGUCAACACGCUGCAUGGCAUCAACAAGGUGUAAGCUGCUAGAAACAUUCUGCAAAGUUCUAGUUCGACCCAAAGCAACUUAGGUGAGAGGCAUCGUCUUUACGCCAUGGGUGUGACUUUCUAGAAACAUUCUGCAAAGUUCUAGUUCGACCCAAAGCAACUUAGGUGAGAGGCAUCGUCUUUACGCCAUGGGUGUGAUGGAACAACAUCAUGGCAUAGUUUGUUAUGAGCCACUCUGAGAAGGUCAUCACCUCUGCGGGAGAUAAGUCUGUGCAGGUGUCGUCGCUCCGCCUUGGGUCCCAGAUAGUCCCCCAGGGGACCCGAGAGCCUGAGCUGUCCACCCCUCCACCUUUGCCGGCCCGGAGGAGGGUCCCUCUCCAGGAACCAGAAGGCUUCGGCUUUGUUCUGCUCCGCUGGAUGUGACCAGCCCAGACUCCUUCCUGCUGUGUCUUUCAAACGGAUAAUUCUGUAAACCAAGCUGUGGCAAAGGAAAAGGAUUAGGAGACUCCAUAAAAGGGAUGUGUAUGCAUUUGCACGGUAGGUCAUUGCCUUGGCCUUCCUUGCCUUGCUGGAACUUUUUUUUUUUUAAACCUCUUUAUUGGAGUAUAAUUGCUUUACAAUGGUGUGUUAGU